UGGAGGCAUGGCAUAUAUUUAUAUAGU
rnacentral:piRNA from 1 species